CUAACCAUCCCAGAAUCUCUCCUCAUUCAUACUUUCUGAAAUUUUCUGUUUUUCCCUCUCAGUUUUGUAUGCUCACUCUCUUGUGCACAAUAAGUAGACAAUGAAACAGUUUAUAUUGAAUGGGCGAAAUUCCAAGAUCUUAUGGGCCAAUGGAGAAGGUCUUUUGGUCAAUUCUGCUGAUCUUCCCGAUUCUAUUGAUCAUCAUCAGAAAGGCAAGACAAGGAGCUUCUUAUCCAAGAGUCUGUGACACCCCCAACAUUAACAAAACUGCAGAAGCAUCUUUUACUAAAAGUAGUGAUCCUCAUCCUUGGACAAACUGCUAUAAACUGACGUGAGCACAGGAAAUCUGCUGAGAUGUCCUUGAGACUCAAGUUCACUCAGAGGACAAUGCCAACUGUUAACAUAGGGCUUAUAAUACAUAAGAAAGAAAGAAUUCUGGAGUGUUUGAACCUUCUCCAGGGAUGGCGAAGCAAAUAGACCGGGACACUUGGAGGAAGUGGAAGGCACAUCCAUGAAGAAUUACUUGCACGUGAGUAGUUUAACAUCGGAGGUGGCCAUGACAGUUUUUUGGAAAGAAAGGCAGAAGCAAAUCCUUUAUGGAAGUUUAGACAGGAGUCUGUCACUUUUUUGAUGGCUCUGUAUUAUGUCUCCACGAAUUACCCUCUCCAGAGACAAUG